rnacentral:rRNA from 1 species
AAUCAACGCUGGCGGCGCGCCUAACACAUGCAAGUCGAACGAGAAAGCGGGGGCAACUCCGUGAGUAAAGUGGCAGACGGGUGAGUAACACGUGAACAACCUACCCUCGAGUGGGGAAUAACACCGCGAAAGCGGUGCUAAUACCGCAUAACAUUCCCGGAACGCAUGUUCUGGGGAUCAAGGGCGUAAGUCGCGUGGGGAGGGGUUCGCGCCUGAUUAGCGAGUUGGUGAGGUAACGGCCCACCAAGGCAAUGAUCAGUAGCCGGCCUGAGAGGGCGAACGGCCACACUGGAACUGAGACACGGUCCAGACUCCUACGGGAGGCAGCAGUGGGGAAUUUUGCGCAAUGGGCGAAAGCCUGACGCAGCAACGCCGCGUGGAGGAUGAAGGCCUUCGGGUCGUAAACUCCUGUCAGCAGGGACGAAUGCUUCGCAAGAAGUGUGACUGUACCUGUUGAGGAAGCCACGGCUAACCCCGUGCCAGC